GAUUAACGCUGGCGGCGUGCAUAACACAUUCAAGUCGAACGGUGACGGGGCUUCGGCCCCUGAUCAGUGGCGGACGGGUGAGUAACGCGUGAGCAAUCUACCUUCCAGUACGGAAUAACAACCGGAAACAGUUGCUAAUACCGCAUGAGACCACGACCCGGCAUCGGGAUGGGGUCAAAGAUUAAUCGCUGAGAGGUGGGCUCGCGUCUGAUUAGAUAGUUGGUGGGGUAACGGCCUACCAAGUCGACGAUCAGUAGCCGACCUGAGAGGGUGAUCGGCCACAUUGGGACUGAGACACGGCCCAAACUCCUACGGGAGGCAGCAGUGGGGAAUAUUGCACAAUGGGGGAAACCCUGAUGCAGCAACGCCGCGUGAGUGAAGAAGUAUUUCGGUAUGUAAAGCUCUAUCAGCAGGGAAGAAAAUGACGGUACCUGACUAAGAAGCUCCGGCUAAAUACGUG
rnacentral:rRNA from 1 species